rnacentral:rRNA from 1 species
UACAGAGGGUGCUAGCGUUGUUCGGAAUCAUUGGGCGUAAAGAGCGUGUAGGCGGUCCGGUAAGUCCGCUGUGAAAGUCGGGGGCUCAACCCUCGAAUGCCGGUGGAUACUGUCGGGCUAGAGUGCGGAAGAGGCGAGUGGAAUUCCUGGUGUAGCGGUGAAAUGCGCAGAUAUCGGGAGGAACACCCGUAGCGAAGGCGGCACUCUGGGCCGUGACUGACGCUGAGGAGCGAAAGCGUGGGGAGCAAACAGG